rnacentral:rRNA from 1 species
CCUACGGGUGGCAGCAGUGGGGGAUAUUGCACAAUGGGGGAAACCCUGAUGCAGCGAUGCCGCGUGAAUGAAGAAGGCUUUCGGUUUGUAAAGCUCUGUCGCAGGGGACGAAAAUGACGGUACCCUACUAGAAAGCCCCGGCUAACUACGUGCCAGCAGCCGCGGUAAUACGUAGGGGGCAAGCGUUUUCCGGAUUUACUGGGUGUAAAGGGAGCGUAGGCGGGAGACUAAGUUGGAUGUGAAAUCUAUGGCCUUAACCCGUAGCUGCGUUCGAAACUGUUCUGCUUGAGUGAAGUAGAGGCAAGUGGAAUUCCUAGUGUAGCGGUGAAAUGCGUAGAUAUUAGGAGGAACACCAGUGGCGAAGGCGGCUUGCUGGACUGUUACUGACGUUGAGGCUCGAAAGCGUGGGUAGCAAACAGGAUUAGAUACCCCAGUAGUC